UAUUUGAGAUUUUAUUUUAAAAUAAGCUUGUUUUUAUUAAUAAAAAUAUGUAUAUCCUUUUCUUUCUUUCCCCCUUCUUUCUCUUUUUGGGUGGAUGUAAUGGCAAGUACAAAGCUUGAAAGUAAACACCAAAAUGACAGAGCACCAAGAACUCUUCUCUGUCCUUCCUUUUAAGCAUGACAAGCAAGCAAAAAUGCUCCACCUGCACACGUACGUGAGUGCCAGACUACUUAGUUGACAAAACAACGUACAGGCUAGGGAAAUGGUCAGGCUUGCCAGGGAUGCAAUGGGAAAUAAUAUUCAAGCUUGGUGUUGCUUCUUGAUCACAAGAUAAGGCUAAUGUUGGUUGUGGCUGUGGCUUCGUUGGCUUUGACAGUGUUUGGAUAUGUGGGAGCUGUGUUGGGAAAGGCUUGUAUUUUGAGAACUUGUGUGAAGGCUCAAGGCUGUAUUUGAAGGGUGGAUAUAGCUAUGGCAAUCAUUUUUGGGUUAACCAAGUUCUUGUGGAUUGAGCCUAUAAUUUGAAUGAAGUAAUUUGCUUUAUUUUGCUGUAUGAGGUCAGGCUCUCAACAUGAGAAUCUUAAAAAAAUGAUGUUUCAUUCUCUUGUGUUGAAGUAUAAUGGGAUAUUGUUGUGGGGAGAGAAGUGAUCAUUUUAGUCGGUGACAGAUGCAAGAGAGACUAUGGGAGCCAUGGCUCCCUGAAUUUUCAAAUUUUAUUUGGUAUUAUAUAGGUGGUCUGCAUUUCUGUCCCCCAAAAUUUAUACAAAUUUUAUGCCAUAAAUGCUUUUCAAUC